UCGAGAGGCUUCCGCAAUGGGGGAAACCCUGACGGAGCGACGCCGCGUGGGUGAGGAAGGUCUUCGGAUCGUAAAACCCUGUCAGGAGGGACGAAAACCGGAUUGGCUAAUACCCUUUCCGCUUGACGGUACCUCCAGAGGAAGCUCCGGCUAACUCCGUGCCAGCAGCCGCGGUAACACGGAGGGAGCAAACGUUGUUCGGAAUUACUGGGCGUAAAGGGCGUGUAGGCGGUUCUCUAAGUCGGGGGUG
rnacentral:rRNA from 1 species